rnacentral:rRNA from 1 species
UACAGAGGUCCCAAGCGUUGUUCGGAUUUACUGGGCGUAAAGGGUGCGUAGGUGGCGAGGUAAGUUCGAUGUGAAAUCUCCGAGCUCAACUCGGAAAUGGCAUUGAAUACUAUCCCGCUUGAGGGUCGGAGGGGAGACUGGAAUUCUCGGUGUAGCAGUGAAAUGCGCAGAUAUCAGGAGGAACACCGAUGGCGAAGGCAGGUCUCUGGGCCACUACUGACGCUGAGAAGCGAAAGCAUGGGGAGCGAACAGG